rnacentral:rRNA from 1 species
GACGAACGCUGGCGGCGUGCUUAACACAUGCAAGUCGAGCGGGGUCCAACGUGUCGCAAGACAAGGGAAGACCUAGCGGCGAACGGGUGAGUAACACGUGAGCAACCUGCCCCGAAGACUGGGAUAACACCGGGAAACCGGUGCUAAUACCGGAUGCCCUCAAUGAGUCGCAUGGCUCGAUGAGGAAAUGGAUUCCGCUUCGGGAGGGCUCGCGGCCUAUCAGCUUGUUGGUGGGGUAACGGCCUACCAAGGCUC